rnacentral:rRNA from 1 species
CCUCGUGAAUUCAUCUCCGGGGGUAGAGCACUGUUUCGGCAAGGGGGUCAUCCCGACUUACCAACCCGAUGCAAACUGCGAAUACCGGAGAAUGUUAUCACGGGAGACACACGGCGGGUGCUAACGUCCGUCGUGAAGAGGGAAACAACCCAGACCGCCAGCUAAGGUCCCAAAGUCAUGGUUAAGUGGGAAACGAUGUGGGAAGGCCCAGACAGCCAGGAUGUUGGCUUAGAAGCAGCCAUCAUUUAAAGAAAGCGUAAUAGCUCACUGGUCGAGUCGGCCUGCGCGGAAGAUGUAACGGGGCUAAACCAUGCACCGAAGCUGCGGCAGCGACACUGUGUGUUGUUGGGUAGGGGAGCGUUCUGUAAGCCUGUGAAGGUGUGCUGUGAGGCAUGCUGGAGGUAUCAGAAGUGCGAAUGCUGACAUAAGUAACGAUAAAGCGGGUGAAAAGCCCGCUCGCCGGAAGACCAAGGGUUCCUGUCCAACGUUAAUCGGGGCAGGGUGAGUCGACCCCUAAGGCGAGGCCGAAAGGCGUAGUCGAUGGGAAACAGGUUAAUAUUCCUGUACUUGGUGUUACUGCGA